rnacentral:rRNA from 1 species
GAUGAACGCUGGCGGCGUGCUUAACACAUGCAAGUCGAGCGAAGCAUUUUCGCUGAUUUCUUCGGAUUGAAGCGGAUCUGACUUAGCGGCGGACGGGUGAGUAACGCGUGGGGAACCUGCCCCAUACCGGGGGAUAACAGUUAGAAAUGACUGCUAAUACCGCAUAAGCGCACACGGAGGCAUCUCCGAGUGUGAAAAACUCCGGUGGUAUGGGAUGGACCCGCGUUGGAUUAGCCAGUUGGCGGGGUAACGGCCCACCAAAGCGACGAUCCAUAGCCGGCCCGAGAGGGCGACCGGCCACAUUGGGACUGAGACACGGCCCAA